GGAGUUUGGGCCGUGUCUCAGUCCCAAUGUGGCCGUUCACCCUCUCAGGCCGGCUACUGAUCGUCGCUUUGGUGGGCCGUUACCCCGCCAACUGGCUAAUCAGACGCGGAUCCAUCUCGCACCGAUAAAUCUUUUACCUCAGCCCCAUGCAGGGCCGUGGUCUUAUGCGGUAUUACCAGCCGUUUCCAGCUGCUAUCCCCCUGUGCGAGGCAGGUUAUCCACGCGUUACUCACCCGUCCGCCACUAAACUAAAAAUCCAUCAUCCCGAAGGAAUCUGUCAAAAUAGUUCCGUUCGACUUGCAUGUGUUAGGCACGCCGCCAGCGUUCGUCCUGAGCCACGGAUCAAACUACU
rnacentral:rRNA from 1 species